ACUCCUCUUCUCCAUGCCGCCGUCGCCUCCUCCUCUUCCCCGUCCCUCACGGCCUCCUUGCCCCCUCCUCCUUCAGCACCUCUUCCUCCCCUUCCUCUCCUCCUUCCCUGCCUCCGGUUCCAGGCAUGGAGGGAUGAACCCGGAGAGCUGCAGCCGGUGGAUGCCGCGACGGACGGGGAGGCGAUGAAGAAGGGGAGUUUCGGUCAAGUGGAAUCUGAUGGGUUGCAGGGCGAGGAGCAGGGAGUAGCCUGGCGUAGAUACAGAAUAUCGGCCUCUCCCCACGACCCACCUCUCCCACCAGAGCACAACUAGUCAUCUAGGGUUUGGAUGGGUCUGGGUUCCUACAACGAUGGCAGUAGAGGCGACAAAGACCACUUUGCAACCUCGCCGAACUGUGUUACUGAACUGAAAGUCAUCUAGGGUUUGGAUGGGUCUGGGUUCCUACAACGAUGGCAAUAGAGGCGAUAAAGACCACUUUGCAACCUCACCGAACUGUGUUACUGAACUGAAAGUUUAGGGACGGCAGUAGUUCUACCACCGAUGGUGUUGCAUGUAAGCUGGAUGUUCUCAUUGUUCUGUUGGCUCUGAUCGGUGAUGCAGGAUGUGAGGUACAACUAUCAAAGUGACAUUAAUUUUGGUUUUGCUUCCUAUCCGCAGCCUCUUCUACACUAGAAAAGGAAAACACUCGACGAUCUGGCUCUGUCUCAGGUAUAUGCUCCCUCGCCCGCAAGAUCCGCUCUCUCCCAUCUACGCAUCACGGCAGCACUUCAGCUCCUCUUAUGGAUUCUCACCAGAUCAGGCCACCUCACUCACCUUCAGGUAAACCUUGAGCGACGACACAGUAUGUUUUCGCGAACUAAUCUUCUUUAGUCAACCUAUCGAUCCUUGUUGCGUGUGCUUCUUAAUCGACAUGUGAAUAAUCUGUUGAUGCAUGGAAAUACAUGCUGAUCUCCUAUUUUCUUGCUGCCUGCAAGAUAGUAUAUGCAUGAAUCUUGUUCAACUACAACAACCUGAAAUCCCUGUUAUUCUCAGAAAAAUUAUCAUCUACGGUUGUAUGCAUAUGCCUCUUGAUAUUUACCAGCUCUCCUUUAAGAUUUCCUAACUAGCAUACAUAUCCUAGCUAAAACAUAAGAGUUCGAAUUUGUACAUGUGAACUGCACAUUAAGUUACUAUCACCAUUGUUUAACAACACUGUUAAUUAUGACUCAGGUUUGUAAACAGUCAUCCAUACCAUAGGUACGUACGUUAAUGCAGAAGAACCACUAUUGAAUUAGAUGUAGUAACUGCGUCAUUCUGAACAUUUUAGCAAGUUCAUGCAUUAACCGCUUAGGGUCCAUCGAUGAAACAAAACCAAUCAUAUGAAUUGAAGGAGCUACUGAAAUAAAAUGGAAAGAACAAAGAGAAAAUUGAAGGUUAUCUAUAUGAAAAUUCAGAGAAUGGGAUAGGAGAGGUGGUUCUUCCCAAUAGGAAAAAGAGUGGAGUAUAGUACUGUUAUCCUGCCUUUUCUACUACAAUCCCAGUUAGCAUAAUAAUGUGACAUGGAAAAUCAUAUUAUCGAUUCAAUUAUGAUUCAAGCAACAUGAAGAAUUAUCCGUGAAAUUCACUUCUAAACCCUGGUUUUAUUUAGUUUUAACUUUAGGAUAGGCAUUUACUAUAUUGUAAUUGCCAGACUUCCAAAAUUCUACUAUUACCAUUGUUUAACAACACCCUUUUUGUCACGGGAAUAUAAUAGAUGGAUAAACGUCUCAAAUCAUACACUAUGAAGCUUCCAACACUUGCUUACAGUGUCUUUCUUGUGUAAUCAGUCUGUCGUGAUGGACAAAGUUAAGAUCCCAACAAAAAGUGCUUCUUGAUACUAUGAUGCAGCAACUUAACCUUCCAAAUUGCAGUUUACUAAACAGAAAGUGCUUCUUGAUGCUAUGAUGCAGAAACUUUAUGCUAUGGGCAAGUGAUUCAUGCUGCUCUUGGUUCUUCUGUACACUUGAAAUAAGGAACAAUAUUCCAAAGUAUGAUAGUGUUUGGUUAAAACAUAUACCUUAGUCCAUUACUUCAGUUUCUUCUUCUGAAGUUAUGUUCUGCUUUUCUACUUCUUUGCUCUGCUUUACCCAAUUUACAUGGCUUUCGAGUCCUUUUAUUUAGGACCAGGGAAAAACCUCUAAUUGUUAACUUUGUAUUUUCGCACUGACUAGCGCAUAUCUUGCCUAAGCGCAGGCUUAAGCAAUGCGUUUUGUUCUGCCCUAGCGCCUAGGUGCUUACACCCUUUCCCCCUACUGAUUUAAGAGGUGUGGAGAUUUUUGAAGGAGGUGUUGCUCGCUUUGUUGUUCAAAUCACAGAAGAAGUAUGUACAAGGAUACACCACCGUUGUUACUUGCUUGCAAUUACAGUGUAUUUUAAAACACACACUUGGCGAACAUCUGCUCGUGCUUACAAUGCUCUAUGAGGGAAAUAAUAGAUCAACACUUGCUUUUUUGCUCCUUUUGACCAGUUGUCAGGACCUCACCGGCAGAUCCCUCAGCUAUCAGGGAAAGCAACCAUCAGGGGAGAUUGAGGGUGCCUCUCCAGCGAGAGUGCUCGUGUCGUGGUGGUUUCCCACCAGCGGCAUGGGGGAGGCGGUGUCCUCUGCAGCUAGGUCUACAUGCUGGCAACCUCACCGUCACCAGCCCAUCUGCAGGUAUGCUAGCUCCUCUUCUAUUAAUGCAAAAAGGAGAUGCUCCAAUGGAUUGAGUGGUACCCUCCUGAAAGUAUUGUAGGGAUGGACAUAUGGAUUGAUUGGUAGGCCCCUGAAAGCUACACAGAUCUGAACCAAUAACUUUAAUAAGAAUGUGUAUCCCAGCUCCUUUUAUAAUCUUGAAUCCUUCUCGGUCCUACUAAACUGUAACUCAUGUUUAUUUUUGGAAACAAUAUUUUGGACA